rnacentral:sRNA from 1 species
GGCGCCUGGUGGCCGGGCCCUGUGCCGGAGGACAAGGAGUGAGAUGGCCUCAAUCUUGCGAAGCCCUCAGGCUCUCCAGCUCACUCUAGCCCUGAUCAAGCCUGAUGCAGUCGCCCAUCCGCUGAUUCUAGAGGCUGUUCAUCAGCAGAUUCUAAGCAACAAGUUCCUGAUUGUACGAAUGAGAGAACUACUGUGGAGAAAGGAAGAUUGCCAGAGGUUUUACCGAGAGCAUGAAGGUAAGGAGGUAGAAGUACAGAAAGUUGCCUUGGGCACCAGGAUGAAGGUAUCUUGAUGAAGGUCCUCUCUCUUUGCAGGGCGUUUUUUCUAUCAGCGGCUGGUGGAAUUCAUGGCCAGGUACUUCUAAUUUGGUUCCAGCAUCUUUAUCCACUGAGGCUAAUCUCCCCUGCCCCAAAUGGAUUUGUUCAUUUCACUGCCAUUCUUUAAAGUUGUAAUCAGGCCAGGCACGGUGGCUCAUUUCUGUAAUCCCAGCACUUUGGGAGGCCGAGGUGGGUGGAUCACUUGAGGUCAGGAGUUUGAGACCAGCCUGGCCAACAUGGUGAAACACUGUUUCUAUAAAAAUACAAAAAAUUAGCCCAGCAUGGUGGCAGGUGCCUGUAAUCCCAGCUACUCGGGAGGCUGAGGCAGGAGAAUCGCUUGAACCUGGGAGGCGGAGGUUGAAGUGAGCCAAGAUCGUGGCACUGCCCUCUAGCCUGGGCAACAAGAGUGAAACUUAGUCUCAAAAAAAACAAAAAAAAUACAAAAAAAUUAGCCGGGCAUGGUGGCGGGUGCCUGUAAUCCCAACUACUCGGGAGGCUGAGGCAGGAGAAUCACUUGAAUUCAGGAAGCAGAGGCUGCAGUGAGCCGAGAUUGCACCAUUGUACUCUAGCCUGGGCAACAGAGCGAGACUCCAUCUCAAAAAAUAAAAUAAAGUUGUAAUCAAUGUCAAAUCUGAAGAAACAUGGGUUUGGGGCUGCCACUGAGCUGAUGCUGAGCUGUUAGGCACCUGUCCUGUGGUGGUUAGAAGAGUCCUGUUGAAUGCUGCAUAGCCACCCUGCUGAUCUCUGCAGGCUUUAUGUACACCAGUAGGAGCCCUGCAUCACCUAUUUGAAGCAGCAUUGGUACUCAGCGGGAAAGGCAGGAAAACUCUCAGAACGUAGAGUGUGUUUUUAUUCAGGCCCUGCUCACAGCACACCCUCCUAGUCUAGAUGGCCAGAUUCUUUACAUGUUCUUGUUUUGUUCACAGCGGGCCAAUCCGAGCCUACAUCCUUGCCCAC